GAUUAAGCCAUGCAUGUCUAAGUAUAAGCAAUUAUACAGCGAAACUGCGAAUGGCUCAUUAUAUAAGUUAUCGUUUAUUUGAUAGUGCCUUACUACUUGGAUAACCGUGGUAAUUCUAGAGCUAAUACAUGCUACAAGCCCUGACUUCGGAAGGGGCGUAUUUAUUAGAUUAAAAACCAAUGCCCUCUGGGCUCCUUGGUGAAUCAUGAUAACUUCACGAAUCGCACGGCCUUGCGCCGGCGAUGGCUCAUUCAAAUUUCUUCCCUAUCAACUUUCGAUGUUUGGGUAGUGGCCAAACAUGGUUGCAACGGGUAACGGAGGGUUAGGGCUCGACCCCGGAGAAGGAGCCUGAGAAACGGCUACUACAUCCAAGGAAGGCAGCAGGCGCGCAAAUUACCCAAUCCCGAUUCGGGGAGGUAGUGACAAUAAAUACUGAUACAGGGCUCUUUCGGGUCUUGUAAUCGGAAUGAGUACAAUUUAAAUCCCUUAACGAGGAACAAUUGGAGGGCAAGUCUGGUGCCAGCAGCCGCGGUAAUUCCAGCUCCAAUAGCGUAUAUUAAAGUUGUUGUGGUUAAAAAGCUCGUAGUUGAACCUUGGGCCUGGCUGGCCGGUCCGCCUCACCGCGUGUACUGGUCCGGCCGGGCCUUUCCCUCUGUGGAACCUCAUGCCCUUCACUGGGUGUGCUGGGGAAACAGGACUUUUACUUUGAAAAAAUUAGAGUGCUCCAGGCAGGCCUAUGCUCGAAUACAUUAGCAUGGAAUAAUAAAAUAGGACGUGCGGUUCUAUUUUGUUGGUUUCUAGGACCGCCGUAAUGAUUAAUAGGGACAGUCGGGGGCAUCAGUAUUCAAUUGUCAGAGGUGAAAUUCUUGGAUUUAUUGAAGACUAACUACUGCGAAAGCAUUUGCCAAGGAUGUUUUCAUUAAUCAGGAACGAAAGUUAGGGGAUCGAAAACGAUCAGAUACCGUUGUAGUCUUAACCAUAAACUAUGCCGACUAGGGAUCGGACGAUGUUAUUUUUUGACUCGUUCGGCACCUUACGAGAAAUCAAAGUGCUUGGGCUCCAGGGGGAGUAUGGUCGCAAGGCUGAAA
rnacentral:rRNA from 1 species